UACGUAGGGUGCAAGCGUUGUCCGGAAUUAUUGGGCGUAAAGAGCACGCAGGCGGUUUGGCAAGUCGGAUGUGAAAACCCGAAGCUCAACUUCGGGCCUGCAUCCGAAACUGCCCGACUAGAGGUAGGUAGGGGAGAUCGGAAUUCCGCGUGUAGCAGUGAAAUGCGUAGAUAUGCGGAGGAACACCGAUGGCGAAGGCAAUCCCCUGGGCCUGCACCGACGCUCAUGCACGAAAGCGUGGGGAGCAAACAGG
rnacentral:rRNA from 1 species